ACAAACCCACGGUCGCCCUAUCAGCCACCAUGAACAGCCGCCUCCAGCAUUUCCUUCCCUCAGCAACAGCACCAACACCGACACCCACCGAUCUAUCCAUUCCUCCGCCUCAACACCGCCAGCAAGCUCAUCUCCACCACGGCUUCAGCGGCCAUGAACAACAGCCACCAGAUCAGAGGAAGGAGAAGACCGAGAACCAGCCGACCACCGCUGCCACCAACAGGAGUGAAGACCGUCAACGCAGCGACCACCACCGACAGCUCCCCCCCACAACCACCAGCCUUCUAAAACAGAAGAAGAGGAAACAAAAACAAUAUGCAGAGAGGAGCAGAUCUGAAAAUGAGAAGGGAGAGAAGCAGAUCUAGACUAAAAUGGAUUGAAAUCGACUGUUUGCUGGGUUUUUGUUCUUUUGCAGGUGACGUUGGGUGUCACCACCGGCAGAGAAGGGAAAAGGAAAGGAAGCUGAGCUAGACCCACCCGCUUUCCGGCCUUUCUCGCGGUGGCGCAUGAACCCACGCCCCGCCAGUGGCGAUGGCGCGUGGGAAGACGCGCCGCCACUGUUCUUGCAGUUCCAAAAGGACUUCCCUGCAAUUGCUGGAGUUUUUAGGGGCUGUUUUGUAAUUUUUAAAUUGUUUAAUGUAAUUAUUUUUGUUUUGUUUUGAAUUUUUAUAAUUUGUAAUGUGGAUGUAAAAAAGAAAAGAAAAAAGAAAAAAGGGAAAAGAGAAAAAAAAAUAUAGUGAAAGUGAAUAUGUUGUUUGUAUUUUUUAUGAAUAUAUUUUUUUAUGAUAAAAUUGCAAAGAUUAAAGAAGAAUUUAAUAUUUUGAUUUGCUCACGGUCUAGAAUUAUUAACUUAUACGUAACUUGUAUUUCUAAUAUCCGAUGAAAAGAUAAAAUUUUAAAACUUCUUUAACACGUCAAAGCCACGAAGCAGCUUACCUCAGGUAAGGUGCGUUAGGGUUGCUAAUACCUUCCCUAACCACAACCAGUCCCUUACCCGCGAAUCUCUGACAAGGCCAGUACAUCCGGUUUCCUAGUAGCCUUCAUAAUUACUAGGUGGCGACUCCCAACCAACGAACCAAAGCAAACGAAUUAACAAAAAAUCGCCAAGCUGAUGCCACGCGGGUGACGUGCGACAGAAUGGCAACUCCACUAGGGAAGGUACUGUUUCUGACAAUAUUGGACUAAGCUUUGUGUAUUUGAUAUGUUUAAAUUUUUGCACUUUUAUCUUGUUUUAUUUUUGUUUUAUCCAUGCAUUUUGUAGAAUUGUCUCAUGCAUCACAUGCCUUUAUUUUUUAAAGCACACAUAAGCUUCUAGGUUAGGUGGGGAACUAGCGAUCUGCCCUAAGACUAUUGGUCAAGGUUCAGAUGCGUGAAAACCCAACUCAUAUCUGAGUGCCUGCUUGAUAAUGGUGGGUAUACGUACUUAACCAUUUCCUGCAACGCCCCUAUACUAUCUUUACGAAGAUCGUCACUGGACAGAUAUGAGACCCUUUUGAGACUAAGUAGAAAACCUAUCCAUGUUCACAUAAUGAAUAGAACCUAUCCUUAGGUUGUAUGUGCUAUUGUUAUUUGCAUCAGGGCAAACCCUUCUUGAAGCAUCUUGAACUCAAGACUUGUGGGUGACACAAUGGUCGUCACUCAGAAAAUUUGCAUUGUAGAGUUUGGGCAAGAAUCACGAUCCUUGUUUCAUCAUACAAGAGUUACGACCAUAUGUCACCCCUCGAAGGGCGAGUUCAUCAUAUAGAUUACAUGUUCAUACAUUUGUCAUGCAUGCACCAGGAUGAAAAGUAGGUCCCUUACGAGUUUACAACACCCGACUUUGAGCGAAAAACCCAGAAGAUGAAGAUUGUGCUCGUCGUAACGUCCAUUUUCAAGAAAAGUUGGAGUCUCUGAAGAAAAGCUUAACUCGUGUCUGGCUUACUCAAGUAAAUACAUAGAAAUAACUCUAGGGAAGUUCCUUCCGACUGAUCUAUCAUCUUUGUUCAAACCCCAACAUUGACUCAGCCUGAAGAAAUUGAGGGCAAACACGGUCAAGAGCCCCAACACAAUAAAACAUUUCCAUAAAAGCUUUUAUGGGAAAGCUGACCGAAGGGGAAUUGCACCACAGUUGCAGAAUGGAGCCUGUUCUUGCUCUGUAAAAAAAAAAACUACCUCUGUUAGAUCAUGCCUGCAAAACUUCUUGAUUUUUUGUUUUAACCUGUUCCAGUUUUUGUUGGUAAUUUGGCUCAAAAUUCCAUAAGACUUUCCCUGUCCAAUGAGCCUUUCUUGUUAAUAAGAUCAUGUGUUUUCCUGUAUUCAUGACAUGCCUUCAUUUUUGUUGUGGUUUCAUACAAAUAACACAUUGAGCAUAACCUUUAAACAUGAAACCAUUGCGCCGAAAAUCUUUUGGUGUGUUUCCCAUUUCUUCCUAAAUUAUGCAUGAUCUCGCAUAUUCACAAGGAUUUUUGGGAAUUCAAAGUUUAGUACAAAAACAGAAAUCAUGUUGGUGUUUGUCCAAAACAAACGAGUUCUGGAAAUUCAGGUGAUUCCUUAGAAAGGUAACCAUACACCUAGAAAACCUAAAAAAAAAAAAACACCAUGAAGUGACUCCAAAGUUGAGUUGUAUUUGAAUGAAUAAUGAGAAAUCACGUUGCAUACUCGCAUGAAAAUAAAGCUUACCAAUCCUAAGUGCAUGAGUUUGAAAUGAAGAAAGGCUUUCUUUGAUAAUCCUUUCACGAGGCUAAAUUAUAUCAUUUGUAGUCCCCUUUUGAGCUUAUUGCUUUUCUUGAGAUAAAUAACAUUGGCUAGGAUCACACCCCACACUGGGGGCAAGUGUGAUGACAUAGAAAAAGCCUUAAUGAUUGAAAGUGUCCAAGCAACACUAGGGGGCAUAAAAGAAAAUUCUCAAAUCAUCAAAGGUACCCAAACAAAGAUGGGGCUAUGAAGAAAAAUCCAAAGGAUCUAAAAACUUUUGAGCAAAAAAAAUAAAAUAUGAUGAUGCUCAAAACCAUAUGAAGAAAACAAAAACAAAGAGAAAGAGCCCAAGCCCAACAAUGGAGGGCACGAUAGCCCAUUUUGAAAAGACAAUUCAAAAGACAAAAGGUCAAGAAACAAGCACAAGUGAUCCUUAGUCUUGAAAUCCCUUAAACACUUUUGAGCUUGUAAAUAUCAUUUUCUCUUCAUAACCAAUAGCCCAAGCCUAUAUUACGUGCAUAAUCAAGCCCUUUCUGAUCAAAGACAAGCAAUCUAGAUCGGUAGGCAGUGCUUUCUCAUGCGAACCAAAUCAUUAUUCAUGCAAAUAAAAUAAAUGCUUUGAAAAUUGGUUCUCUGUAACCCUCAAAUUGAAAUUUAAACCUUUUGUGACCAACCAGAUGUCACUUCGUGUUCUUCACAUUUUCGUCUAAAGCAAAAAAAAAAAGUUUUCAUCACAUCUGAAAACCUCUCCAUAAGAAUCACUUGAAUUUCUUCAAAAUGAGUUUGCUUUGAAUCAAUGUCAAAAUGAUUUCUGUGUCUAGAAUAGCUGUGAAAUUUCAAAAUUUCUGCAUGAAAACAACUCCUGGCCAAACCUUCCUUCACAUAGCCUCAUCCCUAAACACGAAUUGAAUACUUGGGGGCAUGAUCAAGCUGGAGUGCAAUCAAAAACUCCUGGUAAGGCUGGCUCCAUGAUUCCCUUUCUAAGAAAACCGUCAGGCAAAAUUGGCAACCCUUGAGAUGAAGGGUGGAGGACAAAGAAGUAGAAUGAUAUCAAGCCCUUCCCAGAGGUCAAGAUCAAAAGAUAGGACUCGAGUAAGAAAGAGCAAAAAAGCCAUCGAAGUUUACUACCAAUACUCCAACUUUUGAGAAAAGAAAGACACCAUGAAGAAAUAGGGGACCUAUAUUUCUCAGGUACGUGUACAUGCAUAUUGAUCAUAAUGCAUUAUUUUCAACAUUGUUAGAUCUGUGUUUCAUCAUCACCUUUUGGGUAGUGCGUUUUCUAACCCUACCUCAUUUCGAGUGCGCCUUUGAGCCCUCACUUCUUUUUGUGUGUGCCUUUGAGCCACCAUUUCUCAGGUAGUGCGUUUUCUAACUCUACCUCAUUUCAAGUGCGCCUUUGAGCCCUCACUUCUCAGGUAGUGCAUUUUCUAACCCUACCUCCUUUCGAGUGCGCCUUUGAGCCCUCACUUCUCCGGUAGUGUGUUUUAUAACCCUACCUCAUUCCGAGUGUGCCUUUGAGCCACUACCAUUUGGGUAGUGCGUUUUCUAACCCUACCUCAUUUCGAGUGCGCCUUUGAGCCCUCAUUUCCUUUUGAGUGCGCCUUUGAGCCUUCACAUCUUGGGUAGUGUGUUUUCUAACCCUACCUCAUUUCGAGUGCGCCUUUGAGCCCUCUCUUCUCGGGUAGUGCGUUUUCUAACCCUACCUCAUUUCGAGUGCGCCUUUGAGCCCUCGCCAACAUUUUUCUGGGUAGGUCACCCAUUACAACGUGACCAAUUCUCCAUGUUUUUUUAUCUAGGUAGGUCACCCAUUAUAAUGAGACCAUUCUUCUACCUGGUAGGUCACCCAUUACAAUGAGACCACUCUUUCCUUUUUCUUGGGUAGGUCACCCAUUACAAUGAGACCGACAUUUUUCUGGGUAGGUCACCCAUUACAACGCGAUCAAUUCUCCAUGUUUUUUUUACCUGGGUAGGUCACCCAUUACAAUGAGGCCAUUCUUCCACUUGGGUAGGUCACCCAUUACAAUGAGAUCACUCUUUCCUUUUCCGUCUGGGCAGGUGACCCAUCACAAUGAGACCACACUUCACAUUUUUUCCAUCUGGGCAGGUCACCCAUUACAAUGAGAUCAUACUUCACAUUCUUUUCAUCUGGGUAGGUCACCCAUUACAAUGAGACCGCACUUCAUAUUUUUUCCAUCUGGGUAGGUCACCUAUCAUAAUGAGACCGUUUUUCACAUUCUUUCCACCUGGGUAGGUCACCCAUUACAAUGAGACCACUUUUUACACAUUCUUUUGUUUUGGUUAAAUGAGGUCGCCAGAUGGGAUCUCAGGUAGCUUUGGUUAAAGGGAAUCGCCAGAUGGAAUUUCAGGUUGACCGAGCUGCACAUAUUUUUUUGGUUUUGGUUUAACGAGGUCGCCAGAUGGGAUCUCAUGUAGCUUUGGUUAAAUGGAAUCGCCAGAUGGGAUUUCAGGUUGACCGAGCUACACAUAUUUCUUAGUUCCAGUUUAAUGAGGUCGCCAGAUGGGAUCUCAUGUAGCUUUGGUUAAAGGAAAUCGCCAGAUGGGAUUUCAGGUUGACCGAGUUACACAUAUUUUUUUAGUUCCGGUUGAAUGAGGUAGCCAAAUGGGAUCUCAAGUGGCUUUAGUUAAAGGGAAUCGCCAAAUGGGAUUUCAGGUUGACCGAGCUCCACAUUUUUUUAGUUCCAGUUGAAUGAGGUCGCCAGAUGGGAUCUCAUAUGGCUUUGGUUAAAGGGAAUCGCCAGAUGGGAUUUCAGGUUGACCGAGUUACACAUAUUUCUUUGGUUUUGGUUAAAAGGGAUCGCCAGAUGGGAUCUCAGGUGGCUUUGGUUAAAGGGAAUCGCCAGAUGGGAUUUCAGGUUGACCGAGCUGCACAUAUUUUUUUGUUCUAGUUGAAUGAGGUCGCCAGAUGGGAUCUCAUGUAGCUUUGGUUAAAGGAAAUCGCCAGAUGGGAUUUCAGGUUGACCGAGUUACACACAUUCUUUGGUUUUGGUUACAGGAGGUCGCCAGAUGGGAUCUCAAGUUUUUUUAAAAAAAGAGAGAGAGAAAGAAACAGAAAAAAAAGAGUAAGGUCUUUAUAUGAGUGGAUUCAAUAAGUUAGGAAGACAAGUUUUUCUUUACAAAGCUUACUAUGCAAAACAUUGAGGAGUUUUGCUUCGUAAGCAUUGUAAAGAGGGGGCAUUUGUUGCUACCUAAUUUUUGACCCAUGUUUUGAUAAAUUUUCAGAAAAAAUCCAAAAAUAGAGAAAACAACGAAAAUACAAAAAAAUAUGUUUUUUAAUAUAUUUUCAUCAUUUUAGCAUUUUCAACGUCGUCUAAAAAAGAAUUUCAAUUUUUAAGGGUCUUUCGAACGCGUUCGACUUUUCACGCGUUAUUUUUAAAAUCAUUGAUUUUCCUCAUCGAGUCGACGUUGAUAUUGCUCGUUUUCAAAAAAAUACAAAAAAAUCAAGAAAAAUCAAAUUUACAAAAAAAGAAGGAAGUUGAGGGACCAAGUUUGAAAACCUAGCAACAUUUUUACCUAUAAAUACUGGUCUCCUCAACACACUCAAGGGGGGGCAAUUUUGAAAAGAAAAAAAAAAAGGAAAACCUAACCCUAAACCUAUCUACCCAAAGAGCCGCCCCCCACCCGGCUGGAUUUGUUUGCUCUCUGAAACCAGCCGUUCAAGCCCUUUCCCCUUAGCCUUUUCUCGACUAACAAUAGUCCCUCCUUUCCCUCCUCCACAUCAUCUCCAACUCCUUCUUGCCUCAGCCACACACACGACAGAAACCAGAGCUCCCCUUCUCCUCUCCCAGCCGCCACCUGCACUUUCCCCUCUCUCAGCCGAUCCCUCAUUUCCUUUUUCCUACAAACCAGAACGCCGCCCCCCUCAGUUGUUCUCUCACCCUAGACAACCCCAACAACAAUCGCCACCCUCACAAACCCGGCGACUCCUAGCUUCUCUUCAAUCGGCCACAAACCCACGGUCGCCCUAUCAACCACCAUGAACAGCCGCCUCCAGCAUUUCCUUCCCUCAGCAACAACACCAGCACCGACACCCACCGAUCUAUCCAUUCCUCCGCCUCAACACCGCCAGCAAGCUCAUCUCCACCGCGGCUUCAGCGGCCACGGACGACAGCCACCAGAUUAGAGGAAGGAGAAGACCGAGAACCAACCGACCACCGCUGCCACCAACAGGAGUGAAGACCGUCAACACAGCGACCACCACCGACAGCUCCCCCCACAACCACCGGCCAUCUAAAACAGAAGAAGAGGAAACAAAAACAAUAUGCAAAAAAGAGCAGAUCUGAAAAUGAGAAGGGAGAGAAGCAGAUCUAGACUAAAAUGGAUUGAAAUCGAUUGUUUGUUGGGUUUUUGUUCUUUUGCAGGUGACGUUGGGUGUCACCACCGGCAGAGAAGGGAAAAGGAAAGGAAGCUGAGCCAGACCCACCCGCUUUCCGGCCUUUCU
rnacentral:lncRNA from 1 species